rnacentral:piRNA from 1 species
UUGAGGUACUCUUCUUUCCAUCGCAC